rnacentral:rRNA from 1 species
UACGUAGGGUGCAGGCGUUUAAUCGGAAUUACUGGGCGUAAAGCGUGCGCAGGCGGUUUGCUAAGACAGGUGUGAAAUCCCCGGGCUUAACCUGGGAACUGCGCUUGUAACUGGCAAGCUAGAGUGUGGCAGAGGGGGGGUGGAAUUCCACGUGUAGCAGUGAAAUGCGUAGAGAUGUGGAGGAACACCGAUGGCGAAGGCAGCCCCCUGGGCUAACACUGACGCUCAUGCACGAAAGCGUGGGGAGCAAACAGG